GUAUAUUUCUUAUUUAAUAAGGUGUAAUCCUUCUGGAGCCACAAGAACUUUAAGCCAAGUCAAAAUGAAACACAAAAACAUUCUGCAAAAAGGUAAUAUUUGAUUACACAAUUACUGAACUAUUAUUAUAACAGGAUUUAGUAUAUUCAUUCUGUCAUGUAGCUAAUAGAAAGAAGACUGAAGCCCGUCUAACUGGCGGGGGCCCACCACCACCUCCCCUCACCCCAUCUGAGGAGCUGGCUCUGUCCCUUAAUAAAGGGCGACCAGUGGUUGCUGGCAUUCCAGGGGGCAGUUCAUCGCACACACCAUGCACCACAAGUGAUGGUGAAAAAAUGGUGAAAUGUAAGUUUACCUCUAUGAUUUGUUUUCAUUUUUUGUCCUAAUAAAUUACUAUCUCUGUCACUUAAAGGCUUUUUGAACAAGAUUAAUUUUUAUGUAGGCUUAUUUUAUUUAACUGCAUAUGAUGUAUAGGCUACUGUGAUCUUAGUCUGACAUGUUACUCUUUUCAUGUAUUAUUUUCUUUGAUAAUAUUGAGAAUUUAAUGGGUUGUGUGUUCUUAUAGAUACUGAUGGACGGAUUGUAUUAUUGGACCCUACAGAAAGAACACAGUCUGUCACAGUUGAUGAAGAUGAUGACGAUGAAGAGGCCACAUCUGCUGUGACAGAAGUGGACAAUGCUGGUAGAUCCACUGAGGAUCCUCAUCAAAAGGGCACGCCAUGCUCACCAACCUUCUGGAACGAAGUUACACUGAAACAUAACCUGCUCCCGAGCAGGUUAUCUUCAGAGAGUCAGUUGCUAUGGUUACAUACAUACCCAGAAAGUUACCUCCGUUUUUGGGACCGAAAGUUGAGGUUAUCCACGAACUUACCCUUAAACAUACCCAGGUAUGUCACAUAGCCUGCUUUCUGGAAUACCCC